rnacentral:rRNA from 1 species
AUACGGAGGACGCGAGCGUUAUCCGGAUUCAUUGGGUUUAAAGGGUGCGCAGGCGGCCGUGCAAGUCAGCGGUGAAAGCCCGGGGCUCAACCCCGGAAGUGCCGUUGAUACUGCAUGGCUGGAAUGCGGUCGAGGCGGGCGGAACGUGGCGUGUAGCGGGGAAAUGCGUAGAUAUGCCACAGAACGCCGAUAGCGGAGGCGGCUCGCCAGGCCUGCAUUGACGCUCGGGCACGAAAGCGUGGGGAUCGAACAGGAUUAGAUACCCUGGUAGUCCACGCCGUAAACGAUGGGCGCUCGUCGUCGGCGGCAGAGAGUCGGCGGCCAAGCGAAAGCGAUAAGCGCCCCACCUGGGGAGUACGGUCGCAAGGCUGAAACUCAAAUGAAUUGACGGGG